rnacentral:rRNA from 1 species
UACGAAGGGGGCUAGCGUUGCUCGGAAUCACUGGGCGUAAAGCGCACGUAGGCGGCUUUUUAAGUCAGAGGUGAAAUCCUGGAGCUCAACUCCAGAACUGCCUUUGAUACUGGUCGUCUAGAGAUCGGAAGAGGUGAGUGGAAUUCCCAGUGUAGAGGUGAAAUUCGUAGAUAUUGGGAAGAACACCGGUGGCGAAGGCGGCUCACUGGUCCGAUACUGACGCUGAGGUGCGAAAGCGUGGGGAGCAAACAGGG